rnacentral:rRNA from 1 species
CUGGCUUGAACUGUGGUAGACGGACCCAGAGAUGGGUUUUCCCUUCGGGGCUGCCAUGGAGGUGCUGCAUGGUUGUCGUCAGCUCGUGCCGUGAGGUGUCGGCUUAAGUGCCAUAACGAGCGCAACCCUUGCUGUUAGUUGCCAUCAGGUGAUGCUGGGCACUCUAACGGGACUGCCAUCGCAAGAUGUGAGGAAGGUGGGGAUGACGUCAAAUCAGCACGGCCCUUACGUCCGGGGCUACACACGUGUUACAAUGGGGGGCACAGCGCGUUGCUGGCGGGUGACCGUUGGCGGAUCGUGAAAUCCCCUCUCAGUUCGGAUUGGAGUCUGUAACCCGACUCCAUGAAGCUGGAUUCGCUAGUAAUCGCGCAUCAGCCAUGGCGCGGUGAAUACGUUCCCGGGCC